GGAAGAAAUCAGGAGGGAGAGGGUGGAGGUGGAGGUGGCUUUCGGGUUGGGAGGGUAAAACAGGGAAGAAGGAUUCGGUACAACCUAAAACGCAACCAAACUGAACUUUCCAUCCGGAAUGGAAACCAUCAAAUAUGACGAAUAGGGGCGUAAUGUAAUCAGCCCGUAAUAGGGCAUUACGUCCAACCAAACGUCGGAAUAGGUAGGGCCCACCGAAUCGGGCUGUAAUGGUAUUCCCAUUACAUCCAACCAAA
rnacentral:lncRNA from 1 species